rnacentral:rRNA from 1 species
AACGAACGCUGGCGGCAUGCCUAACACAUGCAAGUCGAACGAGACCUUCGGGUCUAGUGGCGCACGGGUGCGUAACGCGUGGGAACCUGCCUUUAGGUUCGGAAUAACUCCCCGAAAGGGGUGCUAAUACCGGAUAAUGUCUUCGGACCAAAGAUUUAUCGCCUUUGGAUGGGCCCGCGUUGGAUUAGCUAGUUGGUAGGGUAAAUGCCUACCAAGGCGACGAUCCAUAGCUGGUCUGAGAGGAUGAUCAGCCACACUGGGACUGAGACACGGCCCAGACUCCUACGGGAGGCAGCAGUGGGGAAUAUUGGACAAUGGGCGAAAGCCUGAUCCAGCAAUGCCGCGUGAGUGAUGAAGGCCUUAGGGUUGUAAAGCUCUUUUACCCGGGAUGAUAAUGACAGUACCGGGAGAAUAAGCUCCGGCUAACUCCGUG